rnacentral:tRNA from 1 species
AUUAGGAUGGCAGAUCAGUGCAUAGGAUUUAAGCUUCUAUUAGGAAAUAUUUAAAUUAUUUCUUCUAAUA